UAAUAAUUCCAGGAAAAUCGUGACUGUUACUUCUCGGACGAACAUGCACUCGCAAACUUGAUGUAUUACAAGAACUAUACGCAGACAAGGUGCCAAGAGGAAUGCAUUGCGAAACGAGUCUACGAAAAAGUUGGCUGCAAGCUCAUUGCAGCUCCAGGUCAUCCAGGGCAAGUCUUAUGUUCACCAGACAUGUUGAAAUUCGUCGAAAAUGAGACAGGCAUAUGCGAUAAUUGAAUUUGUUGUAAAUAUUAUAUGGAAUGAAUAUACGUUUUUAUUUUUAGUCGCAAUGUAUAAUGCUGGAUUACAUGAUGAGUGCCCACAUUGCUUGAAGGAUUGCUUCAGUAUAACAUAUACAGCAGUACAGGAAUCUCAAAUCCCGCUUUCUGUCCCUUACCAGGAUGACGUGAUUAAAAACCUGAAAUUGAACGAAUCUGCCCAAUUUUCAAUCGUUCACGUCUACUUCUCAACAAAGACAGUUCUGGGAAAACGUCGAAAACUAACAUGUAGUUACACCGAAGCUGUUGGGAUUGUUGGUGGGAACGUCGGAAUAUCUAACGGAUGGACUGUGCCCGCCCUUGUCAAGAGCAUCAUUCGGUUUGUUGGAUUUGCCAUUUGGCCACUUAGCCUUUGGCUGUUUCGAUGGCUAUGGCGAAAGUUGGUGGCACUCGUAGGUUGCAUUAAGGCUUGGAUGGGAAGGCCAAGCCAUACCCAGGUGUUUCCAAUGACAUAAAGAAUAUCCUGCACACUAAAAUGUAUGCAUAGAAAAGUUUACACUUGAUUAGGGAUUAUUACUGAGAAAACUAAAUCGUUCCAAAGUGAUUUCACUUAUGUAAACAAAAUUAAUUCCCACAAAACUAUACGUUUAAGAUAGAUGACAAAUCCCCGUAAAAAUUUAUCCUGCGUAAUAUCCUUGCACUAUUGGAAAAAUUAAUCUUUCAUGGUAUUAAGCAGAUUAGAUUCCUUAAAAUUAGUUAUGUAUGCAAAUUGAUCAUGUGUAGUGUAUUUUCAGUGAUAGAUAAAGUAGAUAAUGUGCGACAUAUGUAAAGCAAACUAAAUAGCCAAAGGUAACUAGCAAAGUUUAGUAUGUGUAUGUAUGUUGCACAUGAAUUAGUCGCAAAUACAUAGAUAAAACGAAGUACAUAGAUACGUAUGUAUAAAUAUCAAAUGAGAAAAAAUUGCAAAGUUGUCGACAUUUAGAAGACGCUUUACCCAAUCUUAAUACUUCGCUUUAAGGCUAUAGAAAAAUUAUAAAACAAAUUUACGUGUGCAUGCAUGCAUAUGAAGUGUAUUACUGUGAAGUAUUUUAAUCAGUUACAAUUGUGAAUUGAAGUCUAAAAAUCACAUGAUCUGUCAAAGUAGUCAACAAUUAGAAACUGUCGAGGAAAUACAUUUGUAAGUAGCUUGCCUUGUAAAGAAAUCAAUGAGUGAAAUGUAAAGCUGUCCCAAUCAUCUACCUAAAAUCAAUUGAGUGGUAAUCUGUAUGUGUAAGAAAUUAAUGCUAUUAAUCUCCUUAAAAAUGAUCACGUCAUGUGUAGUAUCCUUGCACUGGUAAAGAAAUGAAAUAACAUGUAAAUCAACUUGAUAAGCAGAUGUAUGUAGCUGUGCUUAAUAUUGAACUCAAUAUGCUAGAUAGAAUUUAAAUAAUAUGAAUCGCCAUUAGACGAGGCUUUGCAGUCCAACUUCGCUAAAGCAGUCAAAAAAUCUUGAAGGUAUACAUACGUAAACAUGUAGUAUAUUCAUUAGUCAAAAAUAGAUCAAAAACAGUAAAGAUAGGUAACGCUAUAAAAAUAGCAAAGUAGUCGACAAGUAGAAAACCGCAAUUAUAUAGUUAUUGCUUAAUAACUAAUUAAGAAAAACGAGUGUUUGCCAUUUUAUUAAAAUUUAUGAGAAUUGCACUGCCAGAAAAAAAUGCAAUAUUCAAAUUAAUGCCAUUUCUUGACAAGGAUUUAACUAAAAUGAGCUAAAUGUAAAAAACUGUGUUGUCGACAAGUAGAAAAUUGCUACUAUUAUUAUAGUGCUUGAUAUGUAAUUAACUAAAACAAUCACUGGUCACUUUAACACAUAAAAUGUAGAACCAUUUCACUCCCUGAAAAAAAUGAAAUAUACAAAUAAGCACCAUUUCUUGACAAGGAUUUAACUAAAAUAAGCAAAAUAUAAAAAAACUGAAGUAGUCGACAGAUAGAAAAUCGUAAUCAUAUCACUACCAUUAAUAUUUGAUUAAGUAAAACAAUCGCUUGUCCCUUUAGUAAAAUUUGGAACAAUUUCAGUGCCGAAAAAUUCAAUACGUAAAUUAAUGCCAUUUCUUGACAAAGGUUUAACUAAAAUAAGAAAAAUAUAUAAAAAACUGUGUAGUCGACAAGUAGAAAAUCGUAAUUAUACUGCUACUAUUAUUGCUUGAUAUUUACAUAGAUAAUUAAGUAUUUAAAUCAAUCGGUUGUAAUUUUAGUAAAAUUUAGAACAAUUGCACUGCCGAAAAUAAUGCAAUACGCUACGCAUAAUACCAUUUCUUUACAAUGAUUUAAGUAAAAUGAGUUAUGUAAAUGUAAAAAGAAACUGUCAAGUAGUCGACAGGUACAUUUACAGAAAACUGUGAUUAUAUUGUUAUGCAUACAUAAUAAGUACCAUUAUUGCUUAAAAUCUAAUUUAGUAAAACAAUCGCUUACAAUUUAGAACAAUUUAAAUUCCUUACAUUAAUGUAAUACGCAAGUUAAUUUCAAUGCGUUUCGCAGAUUUAAAUAUGUGUAUGUAUGUAUUUAGGAGCGUCUUGACUUUGUUAAUUUCUUAAUUAAUUUCAUAAGUUUAUGUAGUUCCAGGCCGCAGAUGAUUUUCAAACUUCAUGCGUACAUCUGUAUAUAUGUAACCAUUUUUUUCGUUAUUCCUCACUAAA